ACAGUCAGUGUGUGGCCUUGUCAUUAUAGCUCUGCUAUUGUUUUCUAAUUACAUUUUUUUCUCUCUAAAUGUCACAAGCAAAACUGACCGUCACUGCGUCGCUUCGUGUAAUAUAUUUUUUGUAAAAAUAUUUAAAUGUAACCCACAAUCCAACUGGCUGAGAAUCGUAAAUCGUAAGCCAUUAUCAAAUAAUAUUUUGUAUAAUAUUCACUGAAGUAAUAUCUCAAUAAAGACUAUGACUGACAGUCCAACCAACGAUUUUGAGUUUGAUAUUUCCGAAUCGAUGUUGAAUCCAUUCAGAGGAACGUUACAAUUCACCGUACGAAAGAAAAUGGAAAUUAAAAAUUUCGAGUUCAGCACACAUGAAAUGGGAUGUCGGAGAAUUGGUGGACAAGAUGUCAUAUACGGAUUGAAGUUAAAACUCAACGGAAAUGUUCUAUUCACGUACCAAAACAUAAAGGUCGAUGUUGACGUUAGUGAUAUACUGAUAUUAACGCCGGGAAAUACCUACCAAUUGGAAUCGUGGGUUGGUGGUCAUACCGGUUACACACGGGGUCAAACUCUGAGAUCUUGCCAAUAUCAUUAUGCCCAAAUCUACCGAUCCAAUAGGAAAGGCCGUGCACCGUUCACAUUCAUUUUUCCUGACGAUGAAGACAACCAUGCAGAACCGUCGAAUAAAACGUGCCUUUACAUCAUUCAAUAUAAAAUAGUUGAUUAAGGAUUAGACCACCUGACCAGACCAGCCAUUUACUUCAAAUUUACUAUAUUUUGUUAUAAUGUGCAUGUUUGUUCUAGAAAUUACCUUCUCCUUUUAAAUUAAUGACAACGAUAGAAGAAUGAUAGAAGAAAAAUUGUAAUUCGAUUUACAAUAAACUUUGAAUUUACAUUUGAGAAGCAAUGG